rnacentral:misc_RNA from 1 species
GAAAUGCGAUAAGUAAUGUGAAUUGCAGAAUUCAGUGAAUCAUCGAAUCUUUGAACGCACAUUGCGCCCCCUGGUAUUCCGGGGGGCAUGCCUGUUCGAGCGUCAUUUCACCACUCAAGCCUCGCUUGGUAUUGGGCGACGCGGUCCGCCGCGCGCCUCAAAUCGACCGGCUGGGUCUUCCGUCCCCUCAGCGUUGUGGACACUAUUCGCUAAAGGGUGCCGCGGGAGGUCACGCCGCAAAACAACCCCAUUUCUAAGGUUGACCUCGGAUCAGGUAGGGAUACCCGCUGAACUUAAGC